GCAGGCGCAGAGUCCUUGUGCAGGGCUGGUGCAGCUAAAGGGCAAAGGAUACCGAGACCGGGAAGGAACAACGACCAGGAGCGGAGCCAAGUCCGCGUCGUUGCCGCCCGGACACAGGGUGUGUCCGCCCAGCGCAGCAGCCCCUCCCACCCCCAGAUUCUCCUGCCCACCCUUAAGGAGCUUGCUGCAGCUGGGGCACACCCAACAGCCUGGCUCCUCGGGGAAUAUUUAGGGAUCUUCGGAGUUGGGGCGGGAGUCUAGAGUCGUCCUCUAAAACAGGCCAGGAAUGUGCCAAAGAUAAUCCCCCUUAGCUCCUGGCUCUACCCAGAGUCGCUGGCGACACCCGACACCCGUCGGGUGGAAAGAUAGAUCCUUGGCAGAAAGUGGCUUCCGGAGUUGGGUGGGUGGGGAUCACCAAAGAGGACAGUAUCCUGCAGGGCAGUCCGGCCACGGGGGAGUCAGGCAGAGUGUUGUGGGCCCUGCAUGCGGUUUGUGCAUAGGAGGGUUUUUUUGUGCAGCUGGUGUUAAAUUACCCCUUGGAAGCAAGUGGCUCCCUGCACCCUGGUGCUGGAGGCCUUUGCACCAUGGUCUAGAAUCUCCAACUUUCUGUCCUCAGCUUCCUUUCACUCUGUCAGAAAAGCUGGACAAAUCACACACACACACACACACACACACACACACACACACACACACACACACACACUGCACCAGAUUUGAGGCUCAGCAAACCAAGAGAUGCACUUAUUAAUUCAGCCAUUCAAGCAAAUAUGUCAGGAAUGGUUUGUCUUUUAAACCACGAGGCUUUUAGGAAUCUAGAAAAACAAGCCACCCAAAAAGAAGAAGACAAAUGAGGCUGCUCCCGGUCCUGGUGUCAGCACGCUUGUCCUGAGUCCCCCGUGAACCCUCACAGGGUGUUUCCUACACACCAGGUACUGCUCAAUACACUUAACACAAAUCACCAUUUAGUGCUCACUACCACCCAGAUUAAUAGGUUCGCUUCUGAACCACCGCCACCCCCUCAGCAUGAGGAACCAGUGUGAACCUCUGUUCCUGGAGGAAAGCCACACCUGUGUUAAACAUUCCAAAGCCAACGUGAUUGAUAAAAACAGUGAUUGUAGAGAGUUGGAAUGCUGCAGGGCUGCUGACAGAUUAUCUUAGGUGUACCAGUCCAUGGUCUUGAGGACAGAGAAGAGGAAUGGCCUAUAAGCAACUGCAAGAGAAGAAGGAAUUGGGAACUCCCAGACCCCACCCCAAGAGGGCCAGGACACCAGGCAUAGGAUCAGGGAAUCAGGAGAGAGCCCAAAACUGGCCACAAAUGUAUCCUGUCAGGGCCACCACUGACCUGCCGGUGGCUCUGGCUUCCAUGGUAGGAGAUUUGGCUUGGGGGAGGGGACACAGGACACCUCCACAUGGAAAAGGUCUCACAGGUCUACCAAAAUGGCAGGCAGUCUCCCACUACCUCCAAGGAGGGCAGAUUUUGCAUCUUCUCUAUGAUCCUGGUUUUGUCGCAGACAGACAUUUCAGAAAUUGCAUGUCUUGGCGACUUCCUAUGGGAGGAUAGGGUGGGGUAGGGGAAUGUUACCCUGCUGGCAAGUUCCUACCUGGUUCUCAGGGGCCACUUUGGAGUGGCCCAAAUAAGCAUGCCAUUUCCCUUGGUUCACAUGGAGACUAACCCUCCUAACAGGUGGUAGUGGCCCAUAUCUUGCUCUGGCCCAUCAUUACCUGCCUCCAUCUAUCAGACAUUUCCUUGGUCUUCCUGCCUUCUGGUGACCUGCUAGGUCCAGUGGGUAGGAGAAGGGGAGCCAGCCAUGUCCUGUCACUCUGUACCUUGUGGCAUCUCUGGCUUCUCCAGCAUCAGCUGCUCUGAGUCUCCCACAGCCCAGCCACCCCCUCUUCAGUCUUCACUGAUCCCUCCAGUGUGAAAGUGAUACCCUGUGUUAAACUCCCAGGGCACUGGUUUCCAAGUCAGGAGCCCAACACCCAUUGGAUGGAGGCAGAAUAGCUUGGUGUCCAGAGGAGGAGUCUGUGGCAUUCAUCAGGGCUCAUGCUAAGCUGUUCUGCAUAUGACUGUGCAACCUGGGAUAUGCUGUUCUUCUCAGCCUACCUCCUGGAUGUCUGGAAGCUUAAUGGAACAGAACAGAAAAUUCUCAGGACUUCCCCACUUCAGGACCAGAGUGCCACCUCCCAAAGGUCAAAUGUCAAGUCCCAGAAAGCUCGUGUGGAGUUUCUUCCUGCUCAGAGAGGAAAACUGUGCAGGGCCUGAAAGAACCUGAGGCCACGCCACCCCACCUCACGUCCAGCACGUGUCCCGACCCCAGUGCUGGGAUGGCCCUCUGAUGCAUACCCUGCUUGCUUUCCAUGCCAAGCCAACUGACUAAUGGAGUUGCUCUCCUGCCCGCUCAGACAGAUCGUUCGAUCAGACUCUGGGAAACAAACAGGCUGAGUUUUGCCAUCCACACCCCAAGCAACAGAGCUGCUGUUCUCAUGGGAAUCACAACCUCUAAGUGGGUCUCUGAACCUAGAGUGAGAUUCUGCUGGCUUUGGGCUCCAGCAUGGGGUAGCUGGGGUAGCACCAUUGUGACCAGUUUAAGGAUAAAUGGGCUCUAAACAGGCAGAUGGGGAAGUUGAGGAGGAUGCGGAGCAGAAAAGAGCAAGCCCAAGUCCAAGGAACACACAUGCCUGGGGAGGGCUGGCUGGAUGUUGGGGAAGGAGGUGGUUUGAAUGAAAAUGGUCAGCAUAUAGGCUCACAAGGGGUGGUACUAUCAGGAGGUGUGGCCUUGUGGGAGUAGGUGUGGCCUUGUGGAAGGAAGUGGGUCUCUGGGAGUGGCCUUGGAGUUUCAGAAGCUUGUAGACUGAAUUUUCUCUGGUCCUGCCUUGCCCAGCAGUCCAGACGAAUCUCUACCAGCCACGGUCCCACGGCCACUUAUAAAAUAAUUACUCAGAGACUUAAUAUUAAUUACAAACUGUUUGGCCUUUGGCCCAGCUUAUAUUGGCUAGCUCUUUUAACUUAAUUCAACCCAUUCCUAUUAAUCUAUGUAUCGCCAUGGGUUCCGUAGCUUUGCCUGUGUUGCGUUACAUCUUGCUUCCCUGGGCAGCUCUUAGCGUCUCUCCUGACUCUGUCCUUCUACCUCUGUCUCUGCUUGGAUUUCCUGCCUGCCUCUAAGCUGCCUUGCCAUAGGCCAAAGCAGCUUUAUUUAUUAGCCAAUGGGAGCAACACAUAUUCACAGCAUACAGAAAGACAUCCCACAGCAGAAGCCUAAGCCAGGCUUCCCACCAUGAUCAUAAUAGACUAAACCUCUGAACCUGAAAGCCAACCCCAGUUAAAAGUUUUCUUUAAGAAUGACUAUGGUUGACCAGGCACUGUUGGCAUACGCCUUUAAUCCC